rnacentral:rRNA from 1 species
GCGGCAUGCCUUACACAUGCAGUCGACGGCAGCACGGGAGCAAUCCUGGUGGCGAGUGGAGAACGGGUGAGUAAAGUAUCGGAGCGUGCCCAGUCGUGGGGGAUAACGUAGCGAAAGUUACGCUAAUACCGCAUACGAUCUAUGGAUGAAAGCGGGGGAUCGCAAGACCUCGCGCGAUUGGAGCGGCCGAUAUCAGAUUAGGUAGUUGGUGGGGUAAAGGCUCACCAAGCCGACGAUCUGUAGCUGGUCUGAGAGGACGACCAGCCACACUGGGACUGAGACACGGCCCAGACUCCUACGGGAGGCAGCAGUGGGGAAUUUUGGACAAUGGGCGAAAGCCUGAUCCCGCCAUGCCGCGUGCAGGAUGAAGGCCUUCGGGUUGUAAACUGCUUUUGUACGGAACGAAAAGGUUUGGCCUAAUAAGCUGAGCUCAUGACGGUACCGUAAGAAUAAGCACCGGCUAACUACGUGCCAGCAGCCGCGGUAAUACGUAGGGCGCGAGCGUCGAAU